CGGGGUAUAGCGCAGUCCGGUUAGCGCAUUCGCUUUGGGAGCGAAGGGCCGCAGGUUCGAAUCCUGCUACCCCGA
rnacentral:tRNA from 1 species